AAAAUAUUAGUCAUUAGAGACAGAUGGAAUGAGCGUAACGAUUAAGUGGAGAUUAAUCGCGGUAGGCUGGAAUUUGUAGAAUAGAGAUACUUAUGAUCCUACUAUAUUAUUUGGGAAGUACAUUUUAAAUGUAACCUUAAUUUUUGUAAGUAAUUACAUAGAUAUACCAUUAGAAAUAAAAUUUUAAAGAGUAAAUUAAUUUAUCUCUUUAAGGAUUAAAAAGUCAAAUACUAA
rnacentral:sRNA from 1 species